rnacentral:rRNA from 1 species
ACUCCUACGGGAGGCAGCAGUGGGGAAUUUUCCGCAAUGGGCGAAAGCCUGACGGAGUGACGCCGCGUGUGGGACGAAGGCCUUCGGGUCGUAAACCACUGUCAGUGGGAAAGAAGGGUGUCGGUGCUAAUACCAUCGGCAUUUGACGGUACCUGCAGAGGAAGCCCCGGCCAACUCUGUGCCAGCAGCCGCGGUAAGACAGAGGGGGCAAGCGUUGCUCGGAAUUACUGGGCGUAAAGGGCGCGUAGGCGGGGUGGCAAGUCGGUCGUGAAAUCCUUCGGCUCAACCGAAGAACGUCGAUCGAUACUGCUGUUCUUGAGGGUUGCAGAGGAGACUGGAAUUCCUGGUGUAGCGGUGAAAUGCGUAGAGAUC